UAGUUAUCAGAAUUCUCACAUUGCAAACUUUUUUUUAUCCGCCAAAUGCUCUGUCCUCACAAAUGACGAAACUUAUCAACAGAUUUUUUUUGCUUUGCUUCCCCUGCAAGACGUGUGUAUCUGUUUAAAACCUACCACUGAUAUCCUCAGCCACAAGUACGCAGCCCGCAGCGUUUCAAGCAGCAAGUUACUCCUUUCCCUGGGACCUUUUAGUCAAUCGAUUUCAGGUCAAUUUCAGAUCGGUGAGAAAGGAAGGAGAUAAAGUACACACGGAGUGGUUGACAGAAUCCACAAGGAUUGGAACGGCUAAAAAAAAGAGCAAUGAAGACCAGAAAAAGUGGUGACUAUCAGAGGGGUCCAGUGUAGAAUGAGAAAAGUGGGAACACCUUCACACCUGACUGUAAACUAUAACAUUGGAUCAGAGAAGGUGGAAACAAUUGGACUAUUUGGAAAACAAUAAGAUCCAAACAAUGACAAGGGUGAAAUUCUACAGUGGAAGUGCCCUGACUUGUUGAAAGUUAAUCCACAUCAGAGGUUUUUUUUAAGAAACUUGGUCUCUCUGGUAAAUCAAGCGACCACUAUGGUCAUUUUAAAACAGUGUUCUAGGUCAUUUCAAGGUGUUUCCUUCCAAAAGAAUAUUAGAUCAGUCGAAGGAAUUAAAGAUUAAAAGCCCAUAUAUUACAACUGGAUGUCAGCACUAGAAAAUACAUUUCUCAGUUCUCCUAAAAUUAAUCUUUGCAAAGCCUCUAGCAAUCAAUAAAGCAACAAGACAACUGAAUUAUAUCAUCAAAAUGCUACAUUAAAUGGCAGAGGACAUGACUGCACCCUACAUAAUGCACCCAUUCCAGAGACAUUAAAGCUCUAAAAGCAGCCCAGAUCUCAAUGUGGAAUGAUACUCUAGUGCCAGCUGGAGCAAUGCAAUUUUGUCAGAAAAGUCCUGUCUUUCAGAUGAAAUAUUCAGCGCUGGUCACCCUGUUUGCCCAUUCAGGUGAAAGGUAAACGAUUGAAUGGUAAACUUCAAAGCAGCUCUGUCCCAGGGCUAUGUGCAGUUUGGGUAUUGAGAUUUCGCAGCUUCCUUUCUGGCAUCUACAAACAGCUCAGCUGGCACUCUGCUGCGUCCUGCAUUGAUCGGCUCUCGACAAUAGCAACAGGGCGGCCAACAGACACGAAGAGAGAACAGAAAUAACUAAGUCCUCAUUGUGCAUGAAAAGACAAAUUGAAAACAUUUCUUGCUGCUGAAUAAAUUUCUCAACCUUUCCUUUUUCAGUUGUUUGUUGAGGGGUAUUCCUUAAACUGAAAAUAUCCCGAUGACUCCUCAUGGCAUCAGUAAAUAUAAAGCUUUCAGUUCCUGGUAUAAAUUGGAACAAGUUGUAAAAAUGAUGCUCACAAUCUGCCCCCGGGCAAAGUGAAAACAUGUUUUUGCCAGUACACUAAA